GUUUAAAAAAAUCUAUGCUGCAAUUUGUGCUGUUCUCGCUAUUGCUCUUCUUAUUUCAUCUGUCUCAGCUCGCGCCCCUAAAGGAAAGUAAAUGACUUAGAAGAUUUUUGUUUGAAAUAUGCUCUAUAUCUGCACCUUUUUGCACUGCACCACUGGCGGGAGUUCUUCAACUGAAAUGUUAAAAUUUGGAAUUAUUGUGUAAUACAACUUCCAGAGCGCUAUGGGUAACACAUUGUAGAAUUCCACGCUUUAUGCAUACCUCCCGUAACUGUAUUAAUAAACGCAUACAAAAAUAAA